GGAGGCACUGGACAAUACAACACCGCAGCCUGCCCCAGCACUGCAGCCAGCAGCCACACCAGGCCCCACGUCGCAGUCGGCUCAGCCUCGUUACGCUCCGGUUCCAGCUCAGCCUCGUCACGGUCCGGGUUCCAGCUCAGCCUCGUCACGGUCCGGGUUCCAGCUCAGCCUUUUCCCGCUCAGGACCCAGACCAGUCAGGCCCGACGUCUACUCAGUCGAGCUCGGCAGCUGCAAGUAGCCCUGCCGGCUCUGGAGAGGACGCCGUCCUGAUCCCUGUUGGCUCCAGUGAGGAGUCACAAGCAGAGUCAGCCCCUGUGCUCCAGCCUACAGACACCACAGCCUCUUCACCUGCCUUGACCUCUGUUGCUGCCCGGUCAAGCCCAGCUUCUGCCCCGUUGAGCUUUGCUGCCGCCCAGCCAAACCAGGUCUCGACCCCUUUUCCUGUCGGUCGGGGGAGGGACACUCCUGUCGGCUCCAGUGAGGACGCCGUUCCUGUCGGCUCCAGUGAGGACGCCGUUCCUGUCGGCUCCAGUGAGGACGCUGUUCCUGUCAGCUCCAGUGAGGACGCCGUUCCUGCCCUUGUUGGUUCCAGUGAGGACGCCGUUCCUGCCCUUGUUGGUUCCAGAGCAGACGCCAUUCCUGUCCCUGUCGGCCCCGAAGAGGUUGUUCCUGUCGGCUCCUGUGAGGACGCCGCUCUAGUUCCUUUUCCUGUCGGCUCCUCAGAGGACGCCGUUCUAGUUCCUGUUCCUGUCAACCCUGGAGGGGUCGUUCGCGUUCCUGUCGGCCUCGCAGUCCCUGCCGCAGGUCCCGCUGACCUCCAGGAGGGGGUCGCGCCUGCCGCAGUUCCUGCUGCGGUUCCUGCCGGCCUCCAGGAGGGGGUCGUUCCUGUUGCAGCUUCUGCUGCAGUUCCUGCCGGCCUCCAGGAGGAGGUCGUUCCUGCUGCAGUUCCUAGUGGUCCUGCAGAGACUUUUGUUUUUGUUCCUAUGUGCACAGGAGCCGUUCUGGGAGGUGCAGGAGGUUCUUGCGGAGCAUCGGCCCCUGGUGAUCUGGCACCGGCCACGUGCGCUUCUACAUCUGGUGGCCUGGCACGGAUCACGUCUGCAGGUGCAGCUCCCAGUGGUCCGACCACUGAAAUUGGCCCUAGUGAUUUCAUAGUGGCACACUAA
rnacentral:lncRNA from 1 species